UACGUAGGGGGCGAGCGUUGUCCGGAUUUACUGGGCGUAAAGAGCGCGUAGGCGGCCGUGUGCAUUCGGGGUGAAAGGUCGGAGCUUAACUUCGACAGGUCUUCGAAGAUGGCGCGGCUGUGAGGGCAGUAGAGGCAGGUGGAAUUCCGGGUGUAGUGGUGAAAUGCGUAGAGAUCCGGAGGAACACCGGUGGCGAAGGCGGCCUGCUGGGCUGACCCUGACGCUGAGGCGCGAAAGCGUGGGGAGCGAACUGAAUUAGAUACUCAGGUAGUCCACGCCCUCAACGAUGGACACUAGGUGUGGGGGGUAUCGACCCCUCCCGUGCCGGCGCUAACGCAGUAAGUGUCCCGCCUGGGGAGUACGGCCGCAAGGCUAAA
rnacentral:rRNA from 1 species